AGUCGAGCGAGAAAGGGGGGGCAACCCCCUGAGUAGAGCGGCGCACGGGUGAGUAACGCGUGGGUAACCUACCCCCAGGCGGGGGAUAACUACUCGAAAGGGUGGCUAAUACCGCAUGAGACCACGGGAUCUUCGGAUCUUGAGGCUAAAGAUCGCACCGGCUUGCCGGUGCUGUCACCAGGGGAUGGGCCCGCGUCCGAUUAGCUAGUUGGCGAGGUAAUGGCUCACCAAGGCUACGAUCGGUAGCUGGUCUGAGAGGAUGAUCAGCCACACUGGAACUGAAACACGGUCCAGACUCCUACGGGAGGCAGCAGUGAGGAAUAUUGCGCAAUGGGGGAAACCCUGACGCAGCAACGCCGCGUGGGUGAAGAAGGCCUUCGGGUCGUAAAGCCCUUUCGGACGGGACGAACGCUCCGCGGUGACAAGCCGCGGAGUCUGACGGUACCGUAGGAAGAAGCACCGGCUAACUCCGUGCCAGCAGCCGCGGUAAUACGGAGGGUGCGAGCGUUGUUCGGAAUUACUGGGCGUAAAGCGCGUGUAGGCGGCCUUGCAAGUCAGGCGUGAAAGCCCUCGGCUUAACCGGGGAAGUGCGUCUGAAACUGCUUGGCUUGAGUACGGGAGAGGGAGGCGGAAUUCCCAGUGUAGAGGUGAAAUUCGUAGAUAUUGGGAGGAACACCGGUGGCGAAAGCGGCCUCCUGGACCGAUACUGACGCUGAGACGCGAAAGCGUGGGGAGCA
rnacentral:rRNA from 1 species